rnacentral:rRNA from 1 species
AUUGAACGCUGGCGGCAGGCCUAACACAUGCAAGUCGAACGAGUGGCGGACGGGUGAGUAAUGUCUGGGAAACUGCCUGAUGGAGGGGGAUAACUACUGGAAACGGUAGCUAAUACCGCAUACCAUCGGAUGUGCCCAUAUGGGAUUAGCUAGUAGGUGGGGUAAAGGCUCACCAGGGCGACGAUCCCUCGCUGGUCUGAGAGGAUGACCAGCCACACUGGAACUGAGACACGGUCCAGAAUCCUACGGGAGGCAGCAGUGGGGAAUAUUGCACAAUGGGGGAAAGCCUGAUGCAGCCAUGCCGCGUGUAUGAAGAAGGCCUGCGGGUUGUAAAGUACUUUCAGCGGGGAGGCGGUACCCGCAGAAGAAGCACCGGCUAACUCCGUGCCAGCAGCCGCGGUAAUUC